rnacentral:rRNA from 1 species
CAGCCGCCGCGGGAAUACGUAGGUCCCGAGCGUUGUCCGGAUUUAUUGGGCGUAAAGCGAGCGCAGGCGGUUAGAUAAGUCUGAAGUUAAAGGCUGUGGCUUAACCAUAGUACGCUUUGGAAACUGUUAGACUCGAGUGCAGAAGGGGAGAGUGGAAUUCCAUGUGUAGCGGUGAAAUGCGUAGAUAUAUGGAGGAACACCGGUGGCGAAAGCGGCUCUCUGGUCUGUCACUGACGCUGAGGCUCGAAAGCGUGGGUAGCGAACAGGAUUAGAUACCCCCGUAGUCCCUGUCUCUUAUACA